GACGAGCGCUGGCGGCGUGCUUAACACAUGCAAGUCGAACGAAGAGCGAUGGAAGCUUGCUUCUAUCAAUCUUAGUGGCGAACGGGUGAGUAACGCGUAAUCAACCUGCCCUUCAGAGGGGGACAACAGUUGGAAACGACUGCUAAUACCGCAUACGAUCUAAUCUCGGCAUCGAGGAUAGAUGAAAGGUGGCCUCUACAUGUAAGCUAUCACUGAAGGAGGGGAUUGCGUCUGAUUAGCUAGUUGGAGGGGUAACGGCCCACCAAGGCGAUGAUCAGUAACCGGUCUGAGAGGAUGAACGGCCACAUUGGGACUGAGACACGGCCCAGACUCCUACGGGAGGCAGCAGUGGGGAAUCUUCCGCAAUGGACGAAAGUCUGACGGAGCAACGCCGCGUGAGUGAUGACGGCCUUCGGGUUGUAAAGCUCUGUUAAUCGGGACGAAAGGCCUUCUUGCGAAUAGUGAGAAGGAUUGACGGUACCGGAAUAGAAAGCCACGGCUAACUACGUG
rnacentral:rRNA from 1 species